rnacentral:lncRNA from 1 species
CUGUUUCUGUAGCUAACAGUCCAUCUUCAGCUGCUGCACGUGCUGAUGGGGAAGCUUUUGAUAGAAAUUCUGCAUAUCAUCAAGAAAAUGCCAGGCAAUGGCAAAAACAUAAUGAUCCUCUACUGAUGGGGAAACUUUUGAUAGAAAUUCUGCAUAUCUUCAAGAAAAUGCCAGGCAAUGGCAAAAAUAUAAUGAUCCUGCUCGAGAUUUGUCCAUUCAAGUGCUAGAGAAAUUUUCUCUUGUGACCAGAUUUGCUCGUGAAACAACAUCUCAACUUUUUCGUGAAGCUCAGGGAGAUGGUUUCGUUCCUAA